GUUUAACUUUUGUAUUAUUUGACUAUUCUUUGAUUUCAGUGAAAGAGACCAAGCAAGAGUUCUGUUAUGCACUGAAGAUGGCAUACAUAUUUUAAAGCCCUUGUUUUUACAUUCAUAUAUUUCUGUCCAGAAUGACAAAAUCCCCAAAAAGAUGAUAAUGAAAAAUGACAACGGGAAGAAGGGGAGUAACAAAUCAUCAUUUAGUGAUGAAGACAAAGAAGAAGCAAUAAAACGGGCCCUGCUAGAACAGCACCAUCUUGAAAACUACAAGAAUCUAUACAGGCUGAGAAAUGCCAUGUAUGUGCGUUACAGGGAUUUGUUGAACAAGAAAGUUCAAAAGCAACGAAUUCAGAUCCAAAUGUCUGAUCUCAACUUCAAGCAAAAUCUUGAACAGCAAGGGAGAAAAAAGAGCUCAGCUUCUCUACCAGGAUCAGUGUCCUGCCAGCCUCCAGUUCAUCAUCCAAGUAAACACACAAAGGCCGAAGAAGAAACUGAGCAAUUUCCUAAGCUGCUGCUUUCUUGGCUUUCUGAAUUGCAGAAAAGGCCUGAAGAGCAAUCCAGAACUCAGGAGGUGAACAAACCUUGCAAAAGGACUAGGAAGCAUUUCCACCAUGAACGACAUCUGAUUUACUUGCAUCAUAUGUAUCAUCUCGCCCUUCUUAAUAUGACAUCUUCCAAGAGACUGCUGGAGAAAAAUGGUCAGUUCGCAGUUGCUGAAAAAGAGCACAGUGUCCAUGAUCUGAUGGAAUACUUGUUUCCAAGUCAUCAGAAACAACCUGGAAGUAGCUCCACUGAAAGAGGGAUAGAGGAAAGCACAUUUCCCAUUUUGCUAGAUAGGAAACAGCAUGAGCAAUGUCACAGGGGCUUCUCCAAAGCACACAUCAUUUUUAAAGAAAUGAAAAACCAUUCAAAGGAGAAACAUGAAAAUAAAGGAGCUGUUGAAAUUUUGGAGGAUCUGAAAUACAGUAACAGCGCCUUUGCCCCACAUGAAAGGAUCCCUGUGCCUCUUACUAUGGAAGAUGUGGUUCUGAACAAUCCAGUUGUGGAACCUAAGUCAACAGUUACCUACUGGACUAAUUAUGUGGACAAAGAAGAAUCCAUUUUCUAAAGAGGAAAAGGAUUACUAAAAUACAGAAACACAACAGCAAUGAAAUUGCAGCUUUAUGUAGAUCUUUACACUGUAUCCCACACAUACUGUAUUGUACCUAUAUUAUGAAAUCACUGUACUGAAUGUAAUUGAACUUUCUACAGGCCAAAAUCUUGGUCUCAUUGAAGACAAUCUGAAUGUUGUCAUUCACUUUAAUUAGAACAGGAUUUGGCUCUACAGCAGUGCUACUAUGGAAUGGUUCAAAACAGAUAAAUGUCUUGUGAAAAUAGAUAAUUUACUGUACAAUUUGGUUGAGUUCCUAAUCUUUAACUGAUCUACAGUAUUAAUUGUUAGAACAUACAUCAAUGAACUAGUGGAUGUUUUUGUAGUUGCAGGUUAUCCUGAUGUGAUGAAAAACAAUUUUUCAUUGAGCUCUUGCAGGCUGAGCAACGAAAUCAAAGGAGAGAGUUUUAACAAUAGUAGAGAAGUCUAGUUUAAGAUAAACAAUGACUUAGAUGCAAGACACGCUUUCACUUAAUCAAAGGCGGCAGACAGACUACUUAUGGGCAUUUGGUCAGAAAUUCACUUAAUUCAUAGUUCUUUAAUCUAAAAAUCUACCUGUAAAUCUAUAGUGUAAGCAUCUAAGCAUUCACUAUAAAAUUAAAUAUGCUCACUUUCAGAUGUUUGUUUUUUAAUGGAUACAAGAAGCUUGUGUGUGUCAUGCUGUGGGAGACUUUGCACUUCAUAUACAAGUGGGCUCAUCAGCCAUUUUGCAAACCAAACACAUCACUGGCUCUUGGGGCAGCGGAGGACACUUAGCACUGUGAGAGGAGAAACCAACUCAGCAGGGGAGAGAGAGCAGACUUGAAAAAACACCAAGAGAAAGUGAAAUAAAGGUUCUCUACUGAAAGACUGCA
ensembl:lncRNA